GACGAACGCUGGCGGCGUGCUUAACACAUGCAAGUCGAACGGAAAGGCCUCUUUCGGGGGGUACUCGAGUGGCGAACGGGUGAGUAACACGUGAGUAACCUGCCCUUGACUUUGGGAUAACUUCAGGAAACUGGGGCUAAUACCGGAUAGGAGCUCCUGCUGCAUGGUGGGGGUUGGAAAGUUUCGGCGGUUGGGGAUGGACUCGCGGCUUAUCAGCUUGUUGGUGGGGUAGUGGCUUACCAAGGCUUUGACGGGUAGCCGGCCUGAGAGGGUGACCGGCCACACUGGGACUGAGAUACGGCCCAGACUCCGACGGGAGGCAGCAGGGGGGAAGAUUGCACAAUGGGUGGAAGCCUGAUGCAGCAACGCCGUGGGCGGGAGGACGGUCUUCGGGUUGGAAACCGCUUUCGCUCAUGACGAAGCUUUGUGUGACGGUAGUGGGUAAAGAAGCACCGGCUAACUACGUG
rnacentral:rRNA from 1 species